CGCACAUUGCGCCCGCCAGUAUUCUGGCGGGCAUGCCUGUCUGAGCGUCAUUUCAACCCUCAGGACCCGUUCGCGGGACCUGGCGUUGGGGAUCAGCCUGCCCCUGGCGGCGGCUGGCCCUGAAAUCCAGUGGCGGUUCCCUCGCGAACUCCUCCGUGCAGUAAUUAAACCUCUCGCGGCAGGAUAGCGGUUGAACCACGCCGUUAAACCCCCCACUUCUCAAGGUUGACCUCAGAUCAGGUAGGAAUACCCGCUGAACUUAA
rnacentral:misc_RNA from 1 species